rnacentral:rRNA from 1 species
CUGGCGGCAUGCCUUACACAUGCAAGUCGAACGGCAGCACGGGAGCAAUCCUGGUGGCGAGUGGCGAACGGGUGAGUAAUAUAUCGGAACGUGCCCAGUCGUGGGGGAUAACGUAGAGAAAUUUACGCUAAUACCGCAUACGAUCUAAGGAUGAAAGCGGGGGACUCGCAAGAGCCUCGCGCGAUUGGAGCGGCUGAUAUCAGAUUAGGUUGUUGGUGAGGUAAAAGCUCACCAAGCCGACGAUCUGUAGCUGGUUUGAGAGAACGACCAGCCACACUGGGACUGAGACACGGCCCAGACUCCUACGGGAGGCAGCAGUGGGGAAUUUUGGACAAUGGGCGAAAGCCUGAUCCAGCAAUGCCGCGUGUGGGAAGAAGGCCUUCGGGUUGUAAACCACUUUUGUACGGAACGAAACGGUUCGCUUUAAUACAGUGGGCUAAUGACGGUACCGUAAGAAUAAGCACCGGCUAACUACGUGCCAGCAGCCGCGGUAAUACGUAGGGUGCGAGCGUUAAUCGGAAUUACUGGGCGUAAAGCGUGCGCAGGCGGUUAUAUAAGACAGUUGUGAAAUCCCCGGGCUCAACCUGGGAAUUGCAUCUGUGACUGUAUAGCUAGAGUACGGUAGAGGGGGAUGGAAUUCCGCGUGUAGCAGUGAAAUGCGUAGAUAUGCGGAGGAACACCGAUGGCGAAAGCAAUCCCCUGGACCUGUACUGACGCUCAUGCACGAAAGCGUGGGGAGCAAACAGGAUUAGAUACCCUGUUAGUCCACGCCCUAACGAUGUCAACUGGUUGUUGGGUGCAUUAGUACUCAGUAACGAAGCUAACGCGU